CUCUUCCGCGCUUAACUCAACAGUGUAUGAUGUACAGGUCAUAUUGUGUGGGCCACAAAAUGAUUAUGGUGUACAACCUAACGUUACUUGAUCCUGAUGAUGACUCAGCGAAAAUGGUUUACGAUCAGAUUAUGAAGAUCAAUCUGCUCAAUCCUGGGUGACAAUGGUGUAUGAUCAGGUUAAAAACACCUUUAAGCUGACCUUGUUAAAGGAACCAGGACAUCCCCCACUCCUGUUGUCGGAUGGUUGGAACCUCGUCGGACUCAUCACUACAGUUGCCUGCAUGGAUAGUUGGCUGAUGCUGCCGUUUUAGGGUUACAUCGCAAAAUGAACAGCAAGCCAAGGUUCCUAGAGGCUCAGGCCAGUUGUGUUUGCAAUAAAUGUCCUUGACGCCUCAAUAUCAACUGAGCAGGGUUUGGUCAUGAAGGUGCAAGAAAUUACCACGGGCCUGCAAUGUUCUUCACUAUUUGAUUGUGCUGUCAAAAUAUACUUAAAACUGUACAUGUAGUGUGAGCUAUAGCUUUGUCAAUAAAAAUACUCCAAGCA